UCAAAAGAUGACGCCAACCAGUCCAUCACUGAUGCAAGCCUAAUGGGUCGAGAGAGGUGCAUUCAGCUAGUAUGAUAAUCUACCAGCCAUUUUUGUACUUUGAAUAGGAUUAGAAUGUGUAUCAGUCAUAUGGAAGCCUUCACAAAAUGUAUGGACAGAUUUAAGAGGUAGUAACCAGACGAUUGGGGUACCAAAUUCUGAGGUCUCUAUGCUGCUUUGAGCGGCCCACUUCCUAGUCUUGAUGCCAUCUUUAGGAACUGGUUUGCUGUGAGAUGCGCUUGGCUUAAGGAUUUACUUACAGCUUAAUGGUAUCAGCUACAUUGUUUGUAUUUUGCCUGUUUUGCAAGGUGAUGGUUUCUUGUAUUGUGAAAUGUGUAACUGAGCCUCCAACAAAGUAAUGAUGACUGGGAGAUUUGAAACAGUUAUUUUUACCAGACCAACGACUGUGAGAGAGUAACCCUGGCUAUGGGAAGAUGCAGAAGAGGGAGUAUUUUCCUGGACCGUAACAGACUAGGAAGACAGGUGGUCCAGGGACUUUGAGCUACUGUUAAUAACGCCUAGUCCACUAAAAGCACGUUGAGUGGCCUGUCUGUGAAAUCGUUGCCGGACCUGGGAGUGAGCAUUCCUAGCACCUUGGGGACGAAAUGGUCAUGAACUGCCUCUCAGGGCUCUGGUCGAAUUUAUGACCCCGGGGGAGCCCUGUGAGCUGAAGUUUGGCACCUGCCGUCAGCCUCUUACAUGGAGUAAAACAGGAGCCACUGCAGCUUCGGACCGGUAGCUCCCCCUGAGCAGAGCUCCAGGUGGGACCAGGAGUGGGGAAUCCGAGCUCUAGGAAAAGUGGAAGAACAGGCCUUCAGAGAGUCAGAUAUUAUUAGGAGAUGAUUUUAUGUGCCCCAUUCUUGCAUCUCCUAUCUGGAAAAACCCUGAAAUCCUUCGUGGUUAUGUCUGCUCCUUGGGACUGGCAGUGACCUUCAGGAGAUGAGCCACAAACUUCUGUAGAAUGUGUGUGUGCUGCAGGCCCCGCCCCCUCCACUUGAUCACAUCCUGCUGUUCCCCCUUUUCCUCCUUGGGUGGUAUUUCUGCAGGUCUGUAGCUGAGGAUGAAGAAUGUCCGGGUCAUCUGGGAAUCAGUCACCUCCAGGGGUGAGAGCAGGAAAGCGCGGGCACAGGUGCGGGUGAACACGGACCGGCGCCUCGGAGCCUCUGCACAGGAAGAGCCCGGCCAGCCGGUCCUCCAGCCUCAGCCUCCUGCCGGGCACAUGACCAGUUAAGCGCCUCCUGCUCUGCCAGCCCCUGUCCACUGCGAGAAGAUGCUCCUUCUGCUGGAAGGGAUGGAGCGCAGCAGGAAGGCACCUGGCGGGGAGCCGCAAGGAGCCCGGACAGGUCACAUCCAUCCUGGCCAAGGCUGCGGCCCCCCGGCCCCCAGGGACACGCGCCGAGGCUCCCCGCGGCCGGCGCUGCUCAUCCCCAGGGUCUGAAGAGCCAGGGCAGGAAGCGGGGAUGCAACAGCAGCCCAGGGCCUGGCUGCAGGGGCUGGGGUGGCCCUGCCCUCGCCUCCACCCCGUUGGAUCGCUCCCUUCCCACGGGCGUCUCACCCGUGUCCGCCAGGCGGCCCGUGGGGAGCGCGGUGCUGCGCAGUCUCAGGGAGGGGAGGGCGUGGGAGGAGGACAGCUCCCGGCCCAGUGUCCUCCUCCUCCCUGACCUGGAAAACGGGAACCUGCUGAUGUCCAUACUGUGCAAUCCACCCAGCUUCCGGUAGGCAUCUCUUAAUCACUUAAUUGAAAUAGUUGAUCUGCAGUGUUGUGCUAGUUUCUGGUGUACAGCAAAGUGAGUAACAUAUAUACAUGCACACACAGAGAUUCAGUAUCUUGUGAUCACCUGUAAUGGGAAAGAAUCUGAUGCCUUAAAGGUUAUUACAAGAUACUGUGUGUGUAUAUAUAUUCUUUUUUCUGAUUCUUUUCCAUUAUGGGUGAUGACAAGAUAUUGAAUACAGCUCCAGGUGCUGUACUGUAGGCUCUUGUUGGUUAUCUUUUUUAUGUACAGUAGUUUACUAAUCUCAAACUCCUAAUUCAUCCCUUCCUUCCCCCUUUGGAGACCACAGGUCUGUUUUUCUGUGACUGUUAGUUCAUUUGUCAUAUUUUAGAUUCUACAUAUAAGUGAUGUCAUGUCUUUCACUUAGUAUGAGAAUCUCUAGGUCCAUCCACGUUGCUGCACAUGGCAUGAUUUCAUUCCUUUUUUAUGGCUGAGUAGUAUUCCAUUGUGUAUAUGUGCCACAGCUUCCACAUGCAUUCCUCUGUCAAUAGACAUUCAGGUUGUUUCCAGGUCUUGGCUGUAGUGAAUAGUGCUGCUGUGAACACUGGGGUGCAUGUAUUUUCUGAAUGGUGGUUUUUUCUGGGUAUAUGCCCAGGAGUGGGAUUGCUGGAUCAUAUGGCAACUCUGUUUAGCUUUUCGAGAAACCUCCACAGUGUUCUCCAUAGUGGUUGUACCAAUUUACAUCCCAACAGGGUGGGGGAGGCCCCCUUUCCUCCACACCCUCUCCAGCAUUUGUUAUAGCUUAAUGAUGGCUAUUCUGACAGGUGGAAGGGGGUACCUUAUUGCUGUUUGGAUUUGCAUUUCUCUGAUAAUCAGGGAUGUUGAGCAUCUUUUUGUGUGCCUGUUGGCCAUCUGUAUGUUUUUGGAGAAAUGUCUGCUUAGGUCUUUGGCCUGUUUUUUGAUUGGGUUGUUUGGAAUAUUGAGCUGCAGGAACUAUUGGUCUAUCUUGGAGGUUAAUCCCAUGUCAGCCUCGUUGUUCACAACUCUUUUCUCCCAAACCAUAGGUUGUCUUUUUGUUUUGUUGUCGGUUCCCUUCGCUGUGCAAAAGCCUGUCAAUUUGAUUGGGUCCCAUUUGUUUAUGUUUGAUUUCCAUUACCUUGGGAGACUGACCUAAGAAAACACAUGGUAUGAUUUACAUCAGAAAACGACGUGCCUGGGAUCUCAGAGAUAUAUGGCAUCGUGUCUUUAACCCGUUUUGCAAUUAUUUUUGUGCAUGGUGUGAGGGUGUGUUCUGGUUUCAUUGAUUUACGUGCAGCUGUCCAGGUUUCCCACCCCUGGUUGGGAAGAGACUGUCUUUUGCCCCUUUUAUGUUCUUGCCUCUUUUGUGGAAGAUUAAGGGGCCAUAGGUGUGUGCGUUUAUUUCUGGGCUGUUGUUUAAAGAUACAGCAAGACAGCAUUAGAAGUGAAGGAGCUCAGUGUUGUGGGGGACAGAGCCCUGUCCCCAAGGACGUCCACACCCUGACCCCCAGACCUUGCGACUCUGUGACGUCCCACGGCAGAGGGGACUUGGCAGCUGUGGCCACGUGAAGGACCUUGGCCGGGAUUUUCCAGGUGGUCCAGCGUCAUCACAGAGGUUCCCAUAAGAGGCAGAGGACCGUUUGAUCACGAGAUGCUGGACUUUAGGCUCUGGGGAUGGAGGAGGGACCGCACGCUCAGGACUGCUGCCGCAUCCAGAAACUGGGAGAGGCCGCAGAUUCUCCGCUGGAGCUGCUCCAGGAGGAACCAGCCCUGCGGGCAGCCUGACUUGAGCGCUUUGGCCUUUAAAACACUAAGACAGCACAUCUUCCUCCUUUGAAGCUGCCCGGUCCGUGGUACUUCUUUAGAGGGACCACGAGAGGCUGCGGGAUCCAGAGCUGCGAGGGAAUGGACACUGCAGGGAAGGUAACUCCUUGGGAAGCUCUGAGGACCAGAUGAGCAGAAGCCGAAAGCUCAGGGAGAAAGAUCUACUUUUCCACGAACUGAUUUUCACGAGCGUCCCUAGGAGCCUGCAAACUCUGUGAGGGCAGGACUUAAGGCGCUUUGGGUUCCCUUCCAAAGGGGAGCAUGCCCACCCCUGCCCAACCGGUCCACCUGGCUGGGGCCCCAUGAGAAGCUGCCUGCUGGGGGCGUUGCAGUGUCAGAGGUCAGGUUGCACCUCCACCUCCCCGUGCCCCAACAUCCAGCACCCCGGUUCUGGAACACGUGUGUGGACUCAAAUGCACUGAGGCUGAAUCUGCAGGAACAGAGUUUGGAGCUGGCUAGCAGGGACCAUCUGAGUCCGAAGGUUCUGGAACCCACCCGCCUGCCUGCCCUCCAGAGCAGCCCGAAGCUGAACUGCUUCCUGCAUCUCUGCAGAGCAGGGAGGUACAGACGAUGCUGGCAGCUCCCCUUCUCCUCUCAUCCCCCUGGCCAUCCUGUGGUCACCUGCAGGUCUCCUCCAGCCAGCCAGCUGGCUCGCAGUAAGAACCGCCAGGGCACUUGCGAACGUCCAGGCAGUGGCCUCGCCUUGCCAGGGGACUUCAGAUGCCAGCCUCCAGCACCAGGAGGGGUAAGUGCCUCUUGUUGAAGCCGCCCCGUCUGGGGUAUCUGCUUUUGGCAGCUGAGCGGACUCAUACUGAUCUAGACUCUCAGUCUGUAACCUCUGGGAGGAGGUCCAGGAAUGGAACCAUCCGAGAUGGACUCGCUAAUAUUUUCUGGGAGGAAUCAAGGGACUCCAAUGCUGGAAGCAAGGCCCCUGGAGGACCUCAGGGUGGUGCUGACAGCCCUUUGUGACUCACCGGGACUCACCGGUGUCCGCCCAGGCAGUUCCGCUUUUCGUCGGCCUCAGGGAACUGCUCAGAUCAUCUUCUCAUGAGAGGAAUCCCGGCUGCUCCACAGACAGGUGCCAGCGUUCAGACCCUGAGGCUGCCUCUGGCUCCACAAGUGUGGAUGUGCCCAGGCAGGUCUCAGGACGGAGCCUCGAGAAGCAGGAAAGGCCGUGUGGAUGGAGCCCCUGGGGACGGAGAGGAGGAGGAAGAUGGACUGGGUCGAGCAGAGGAGUCAUCUGAUUCACCGUACAGGACAGCGUCCAGCCUUCACGCCGGGACGUCCUCCAGGGACGCCGUCGGGAGUCACAGGCUUCAGGAAGGUAGGUGCUUCGUCUGUAACGUCUUUAGCCUGAAAGGAAGCAGCCUUUAAGGAAAUCUGGAAUGUAAACAUGAGCCUUUGCCCAGAAAAGAAAGAAACUUAUGGACUUGGAGAACAGACUAGUGGUUGCAGAGGGGGAGGGAGUGGGAUGGACGGGGAGUCUGGGGUUAACAGAUGCAAACUAUUGCCUUUGGAAUAGAAAAGCAAUGAGAUCCUGCUGUGCAGCACAGGGAACUAUGUCCAGUCACUUGGGAUAGACCAUGAUGGAGGAUAAUGUGAGAAAAAGAAAUUAUAUAUGUAUGAUUGAGUCACUUUGCUGUACAGUAGAAAUGGACAGAAUACUAUAAAUCUACUAUAAUGGAAACAAUAAAAAUACUAAAUUUAACA
rnacentral:lncRNA from 1 species